GGACGACGUUCCAGUUUCCUCUACCAAGUGAAGCAGAUUUCUUCUACCUUUUCCUGCAAAACAUACAAGUUCGAAAGAAGCACGUCAGUAAAUUUCCAAAACUCGCAUUCUAGAGCACGUUCGAAUUCCCAGAACUCCAAAAGUCAGUAAAUUCCUUCACAAAAUGGCGUUUCGUAGUUGUCAGAUUCUUGGCCGUCCAGUAAUCGCUCCCAUCAAUUUGACUAAAACUCCCUCUCGAAACUGCUAUUUCUCUGUUCAGAAUUGCAGUUUAAGCUCUAGUCAGUCUCAUAAGCAGCUAGUUUCAGAGGUUAAAGAUAAGCUUGAGAAGGAGCAUAGUAGUCUCCCAAUAGGCAAAAAUGGAAGAGAUGAUGAAGACAUGAUCCUCUGGUUUCUAAAGGACCGGAGGUUUUCUGUUGAAGAAGCUGUUGCAAAACUAACCAAAGCCAUUAAAUGGCGUCAAGAAUUUGGAGUGUCCAAAUUGACUGAGGAGUCGGUGAAGAGUGUAGCCGAGACUGGAAAAGCCUAUGUGCAUGACUUUCUUGAUGUCUGUAACAGACCAGUGCUUGUAGUGGUGCCAUCCAAGCACCUUCCUGAUGUGCAUCCUCCUGUUGAGAAUGAGAGGUUGUGCGUUUUUCUAGUUGAGAAGGCAUUGGCAAAGCUACCAGCUGGGAAAGAGGAUAUACUAGGGGUAUUCGAUCUCAGGGACUUUGCUACAGAAAAUGCUGAUCUCAAGUACUUGACCUUUGUGUUUAAUGUAUUUUACUACUAUUAUCCAAGGCGGUUAGGCGAGGUACUCUUUGUGGAUGCUCCAUUUGUAUUUAAGCCAAUUUGGCAGUUAGUCAAGCCCUUGUUAAAAUCCUAUACUUCUCUGCAGAAGAUAAAGAGCAAGCCAGUAAGAGUAUGCUCACCUAGAUAACUAGGUAAAGCCUGUUGGCAAUUGAUGGACGUUGUCCACCUUUUCACUGAAAGGUGAGGUUUUGCUCGAUGGACACUGUAAGGAAAGAAUAUUUUACAGAGGAAACUGUGCCAGCAAACUUUAGAGAUUAAAUGCAUUACAAGUCUUGAAAUAUCAGUUUGGCUCGGUAUGGAGUUGUAAUCCUGAUGAUCAACAACGAUUAAACUUGGUAUAUUGCAUCUUUAUCUGGUGGGGAAUACAAAAGGAGCAAAUUUUACCGCUCAGGUCUUAGCGCGCAGACAUUUCACCUUGUGUAUAACUCAGGAAUGGCAGUUCCUGACAGGACGCAAGCCUCCUUGUAGUUGUUUUCUCUUGUGGUUGUACUUAUUCAUGAUUCAUGAUUCGUAAAUGAUAUGAGGAAGGAUGUGUCAUAGUCUGUCGAAUAUGAAAGGUUAAUUACAUUACUACAACGUAUUUGAUUUAAUAUAUGCUUACAUGUCUUUUAUUUUAAACUAUAUGCAAAAGAAUUGAAAGAUUCAAAGAUUUUAGUA